rnacentral:rRNA from 1 species
AACGGAGGUGGCUAGCGUUACUCGGAUUUACUGGGUGUAAAGCGUGCGCAGGCGGCUUUGCAAGACAGAGGUGAAAUCCCCGGGCUCAACCUGGGAACUGCCUUUGUGACUGCAAGGCUAGAGUACGGCAGAGGGGGAUGGAAUUCCGCGUGUAGCAGUGAAAUGCGUAGAUAUGCGGAGGAACACCAAUGGCGAAGGCAAUCCCCUGGGCCUGUACUGACGCUCAUGCACGAAAGCGUGGGGAGCAAACAGG